AUUACUUCCUGGCCUUUUAGCUAGGAUCAAGUACAGUUCUAUUUUCAUAAGUCUACUGCCUUAUGCAGCCUCUGUUUGAGUUGUAUAAAUGGAGUUUUAGAGCAGAGAAAUCCAAUGGAGGCCUGAUCCAUCGACCCCCAUACCUCACUUACUGCAGUACCUCCAGGAAUGGUGCAUCCCUU